GGAAACAGUAAAGAACCAACACUGGGAAGUGUUGAAGUUCAAGGCCGGUGUAGCCAGUCAGCUGUUGGCUGGCUUUAUUGGAGGACUUAGGACCAAAGACAUCCAAAGGGUGAGCUUAGAUUAUGCAAGGUUUUGAAAUCUGGGGUGCAGAGUUUUGUCUUCAUGUCAGAGAAAGUUACAGGUUUUUCAACAAAAGAGUAAUUUAUUUAAAGUAACAUUUUAGAAGGACCAGUUAGGUGGACAUGUGGAGUAGACUGAAUACAAGAAGGGGAAAAGGGAAGCAGCAGACCUGUUAGGAGUCCCGUUUCUUUUGGACCUGAGCAUGAGAGCCUGUGGAUUGGCAGAGGUCAUGGCAAGGGUGAUGGCAGUGUGGACAUCACAACGAAAGAGGAGUGAGUAACCCAAGUCCAGGAGUGAGGAUGCCGGGCUUGAAGACACCAAGAUUACUUACGACAAAAAGUGACAUCAGCAGUUGCAGGUGCCAUGUUAUUACACUGGCCCAGAGCCUACCUUCUACUGCGAUUGGCAGACAUAAGCAGCAACUCAAGCAGAAGCAGCUCACAGGUGCAUCUUCUCUUACCCUAAAGCAUGUGUCAGAGGAAGAGGAGGAGGACGAGAUGGAAGAAUGAAGAGGAGGAGAUUUUUAAAUACAGAAGAAAAUGGAGACAAGAUGGACGAUUUUCAUGAAGAAGAGUUACAGAGGAAGAAAAGGAUUUUAAGCAAAAUAAUGUUAAAAGCACUCUAAGACCACAGAAAAUGUUCAUUGGUUUAUGGCUUUGGAUUGUUGGGACUGGGAGGACAUCACUAAGUGCAUCUACUUUAAUAGCUCUCUCUCUCUUCCCUUCUGCUUUCCCUCCUUCCCUCCUUCUGUCUCCAUUUCCUCUCUUUAAGAGGUGAGGGAAUUGAGAUUCUAAAAAGAUAAAAUCUUCCCCAAGUUACACAACUGUGUGGCAGAAAUAAGGUUAAAAAUCUAAACUUACUGAUCAUAAUAAGUUCAAUUUCUUUUUCACAUUACUGGGUGGGAACAAAAAUAUAUAGCAGUGCCACAGUAAAGGCAACUCAAAGAUAAACUAUGGUUAACAGAACAUCUACUACUGAGAUUUGGGUAGCUCAGGAGCCAACCCUAUUGAUGGAUGUCUAAGCUGAGAAUACACAGUGAAAGAUUUUAGCCAUUAGGUUGAUUUCUCCCCUGUUAACUUGCACAUGUAAAGGCUGGAUAUAUGCAAUCCAUAAUAAUCUACUAGAUCAUUGUUGAAUUUCUCCCUGGGCUUGCUGCCUUGGUCAGCCCUCUCUCUGAUGUCUGAUGUUUUGGUCGGCAUUCCUUUGCCUCCUUGGACUGCUUCCCAUUGCCUGUGCCAGUCCUCAGUCCUGGAUCACCCCAUGCCCUAUAAAACAGUUAGAGAAGGUCACACACUGAGUGAACCUCACCUUCGAGCCCAAUAGCCCUUGAUAGAUUCAGACAGUUGCUCCUAAUUGUUGUUCAGAAAUUAUUUUCUCCCCUAAUUAAUUCUCCGGAAAAUUCCACAUUGUAGUUAUUGCCAUACUGUCCUUCUAUUCUUUUGUCUAGUUCAUCUUCUGAGCAGAUAACCCCAUCUGUUAUUUCUCUGAGAAGCUGGAAGCCAUUUUUCUUUUUCCCUCCCAGAAAAUACCUAUGUGCAUACUUUGGGCAUAUUCUUAUAUACUUCAACACAAAUGAACGUACAUCUGUCUCCUGGUCUUAUUCUCCCUGUCUAUUUCCAAACCUCCCACUUUCCCACCUCCUCAGAUUUUUCUCUAUGAAUAAUUCCUUCUAUCUGGUUUGCUUAAAUUUUUUCUUUAUUGGCUCUCUCUCUCUCUUCAAACAUGCCCAGGCCUCCACUCUCUCGAGGUAAACAUCCUUGAGCUUAUUGCUCAUUUAGCUGGCCUUGGCCCUUGCAUGGUGCAUUUACUCUUUAUAUUUGACUUAAUUGCUGUUGUUCAGACCCUUGACAGACCUGUAUCUCUAGCUUAAUCUCUCCUAAACUACUACUAACUUCUAUUCAAUUCUCUUCAAGAUCAUUUCAGCUUAGUUCCAUCAGUUUAAGAAAAUUUGAUUUCACAUUUGAUUUCUCUCCUGUUGUUCUUCCUCUAACACAUGCUAGGAAAAAAAUGAUACCAUUACUGCUUAAAACUCUUAAGUUACCUAGGAUCAGGUGGGAGCUUCCCUAACUUGAUGAAGAACUUUCAUUUUAAGCCAGUAGUCCAUGUUAUAUUCAACUGUGAAAUUCUAAAGUAUUUCUAUUAAAAUUCAGAAAAUGAUGAGGAUAUUAGCUAUUGCAUAUAUUAUUUAAUGCUGUGAUGGAAUUUAAGAGAUAUAUAUUUUGGAAAAAAGGAGCCAAGUAUAUUUUCAUUUGAAGUUGAUAUGAUUGUUGCCUACUCAGACAACCUAAGGGAAUCGAAUAAAAAGUAGUAGAAAUAAUAAGAGAGCUUGCCAAGGUUGCAGAUUAUAAAAUAAAUGUCAUAAAACCAAUAGAUUUCCUAUAUACCAGCAAUGACCAGUUGGAAAAGAUGUAAUGAAAAAAAUGAUACCAUUCACAAUAACUCAAAAGUAUAUAAUAACACCAAUAGAUUUAAUAAGAAACAUGGAGGAUUUAUAUGAAUGGAUCUGUAAAACUUUAAUGAAGACUCUGUUAUCUCCGCCAUUCAAAACUCAGCUCAAUUCUGCCACCUCCAGAAAUCUUUCCAAAGCCAAGGUCAAAAUUCUCUCUCAUCUGCUCCUUUUCUAUUUACUGUGGAUAAUACUCAACUGAUUCCUGUUCACAUAGCCCUUUAAAUUUAAACUGAGAUUCUAGAGAACAAAGACUGCUACUGUAUGAUGGUUAUGAUGUAACUUUGGUCACUUUAAUAUCUUUAGCCUCUGCUUUCUCAUCUAUAAAAUAGGUGUAUAUAUAUAUAUCACCAGGCUACUAUGUAGAUUAUAUGAAUAGUUUAUAAUUAAUAUUAAUAAUUUAAUUAUUAAACAGUAUAUCAAUCAUUUAAAUUUUUAUAUUACUAAUUUAAAUUUGUGAUUACCUAGUAUACAAAUUGACACAUGAUAAACCCUCAAUAAAUGGUAGCUAUUAUUUGUAACUCUUGGUAUGAGGUUACACUUAUUUGGCCGCUGUGUUAGUAAGUGUCAAAAAUGACUGAUCCCUUUAAUUCUAGGGAUGACCACAUGGGAAGUAACAGCAACUCCAACUCAGGACUGAAGGGAGUCAGAAACUAGAAGUAAGACAUGUUUGAGGUCUGGGAAUCAGGAGAAUACAUAAAUAGGACAAAUUUGUAGAUACUUAAAAGCGUAGUCGCUGGGAAAGAAUGGAGCUAAUGGGUACUCCAGGGAUCAAAACUGCAUAGUCAUGGAAAGUCCUCCGUUUGCAUUUAAAGGAACAUUGCACUUACCCUGGUUGGAGGAUGAAUGUAUCAAGAGACGUAAUGGGAUGGAUUUGCCGACAUUCUAAGUAUUAAUCUUACAGAAAGAUUAGAUAGCUUUCAAAUCAAUGGAAAGGUGACUGUGAUGCCAGCAGCCAAACUAUAUGCAAUAAAUCAUUAUCCUUAUGCCUAUAGUAGAUACACAGUAAAUGUGCUUUAAAUAAAUACCAUGGACUUUCACAAUAAUUGAGAUCACUUGAUUUUGG